rnacentral:rRNA from 1 species
GACGAACGCUGGCGGCGUGCUUAACACAUGCAAGUCGAACGGAAAGGCCCUGCUUUUGUGGGGUGCUCGAGUGGCGAACGGGUGAGUAACACGUGAGUAACCUGCCCUUGACUUUGGGAUAACUUCAGGAAACUGCGGCUAAUACCGGAUAGGAGCUCCUGCUGCAUGGUGGGGGUUGGAAAGUUUCGGCGGUUGGGGAUGGACUCGCGGCUUAUCAGCUUGUUGGUGGGGUAGUGGCUUACCAAGGCUUUGACGGGUAGCCGGCCUGAGAGGGUGACCGGCCACAAGAGGACUAAGGUACGCCCCAGACUGCAACGGGAAGCAGUAGUGGAGAGUAUUGCACAGUGGGCGGAAGCGUGAGGUAGAAGCGCCGGGAGCGGGAUGACGGCCUACUGGGGGUGAACCGCUUUCUCCGUAGACGUAGCGUGAUUGACGGUAACGGGUAAGGAAGCAACGGCUAACUACGUG